CUCAUAAUUUUACAAAUUAACAAGCCUAUACUGCAUGUAUGUUUCUACAUCAGGGUCUCACAUCAGGGUCUCUGAAUUAACCCUUUCCCCGCUUUAGCCGACUAUAGUCGGCAUGGCUACUGAUAAAUUAAAAAAAAUCAUUGUGCACGCUGUGUUGGAGCUAUGCACACACUGCAGAUACCAGCACAUGUGCAUUGAGCUGCUCUUCCACAUGGUAUUUUUAAUAUUUUGCUUUGAGGUACGGUUCGAUCAGAAUUGUCGAAAGAAAAGUGACCGUUUUAUAAUUGCUACAAGAUCUUCGUAGUACAACCUCAGGGAGGUUCUAGGGAAGCUAGAGAGUGAGAAUAUCGAUGCCUAUGGCCUUGUAGAGUGAGAGAACAGUGACUGGGAUCAUAGCUAGGUAGGAAGCUUCCUUUCAGAGGUCAAGCUAAAAAGAAAGAGCCUGAGAAUCCUGAGGAAGACGCACUUGAGGUGGACCAUCUUCCUGAACCUGGUGAAGAAAAUAUUUCCCGGGAAAAGGGCAUCUGCCGAUAGAACCUCAAAUACAAGUUUCUGCAGAUCAUGAUUGAGUCCUGAGUGAGCCAUGUCACCGUGAGAACAUUCUGAACACUUAUAUCAUGUGUUCAGUCACUUCGUAACAUCAUACAAUAUUGUUUGUGUACAUAAUUGUGAAUUUUUGUUAACAAUUGUUAUUUGUGGGGUGGUGGUUGGUUGCUAGGCAACAAUGAUGAUUCCAUGAAUGCGACAGGUCCGGUUCUACCUGUAGAACUUUGUUACAAGUGUUUUUAAUAUACGGUUCAUGAGUUAUAAAUUUUUUAACCCUUUCCCGGCUUUGGACGACAUAUGUCGUCCAGCGGACCGAGAUUUUUCAAAAAUUUGCUGUGCGGGCUGUGUUGGAGCUAUGCACACACUGUAGGUACCAGCACAUGCGCAUUGAGCUGCUCUUUCACGUGGUAUUUUCAACAUCUUGCUUCGAGGUACGCUUUGUGCAGUAUACUGUCGAAAGAAAAGUGACCGUUUGAUGAUGACUUCAAGAUCUUCGUAGUACAACCUCAGUGGGCUGCUAGACAGUGAGAAUAUCGAUGCUUAUGACCUUGUAGAGUGAGAGGACAGUGACUGGGAUCGUAGCUAGGUAGGAAGCUACCUCAAGCUAAAAAAUAAAGAGCCUGAGGAGCCUGAAGGAGCUGGACCAAGUUUCUGGAUCUGGUGAAGAACGUUUCCCGGGAAAAGGGCGUCUGCUGAUACGACCUCGCAGAGAAGUUUCGGCAGAUCCUGAUCGAACUAUGUCACCGUGAGAACAUUGAAAACACUUACUUAGUGUCUAUAGUCACUUUGUGCCUUCGUAUAAUAAUAUUAUUGUUUGUGUACAUAAUUGUGAAUGUUUGUAAACAAUCGCUAAUUAGUUGGGGGUGGUCAGUUGCUAGGUAACGAUGAUGAUGUCAUGGUACCCCCGGGGUCUGGGCUACCUGUAGGAAAUAGUUACGAGUGAUUUCAAUGUACGGUUCAUAAGAUAUGGAUUUUUAAAGAAAAACAUGUAUUUAUUCUGUAUUAUUUUGUUUUAAUUAAAGCCGGGAAAGGGUUAAUU